UACAGAGGAUGCAAGCGUUAUCCGGAAUGAUUGGGCGUAAAGCGUCUGUAGGUGGCUUUUUUAAGUCCGCCGUCAAAAUCCCAGGGCUCAACUCUGGACAGGCGGUGGAAACUACCAAGCUUGAGUACGGUAGGGGCAGAGGGAAUUUCCGGUGGAGCGGUGAAAUGCGUAGAGAUCGGAAAGAACACCGAUGGCGAAGGCACUUUACUGGGCUAUUACUAACACUCAGAGACGAAAGCUAGGGUAGCAAAUGGG
rnacentral:rRNA from 1 species